AACGAACGUUGGCGGCGUGGAUUAGGCAUGCAAGUCGAACGAGAAAGCGUCCUUCGGGCGUGAGUAGAGUGGCGAACGGGUGAGUAACGCGUGGGGAACCGUGCCCUUGAGUGGGGGAUAACGUUUCUAACGAGACGCUAAUACCGCAUGAUACCGACUGUAGGCAUCUAUGGUCGGUCAAAGGUGGCCUCUGUUUCAAGCUGUCGCUUGAGGAUGGCCCCCGCGUCCGAUUAGCUAGAUGGUGGGUAACGGCCUACCAUGGCGACGAUCGGUAGCCGGCCUGAGAGGGUGUCCGGCCACACUGGGACUGAGAUACGGCCCAGACACCUACGGGUGGCAG
rnacentral:rRNA from 1 species